UCUCGACGCAAGGUGGUAGAUCUAGGCGACUUUAAAUAAAUUCUAGGAUCGCUAUGCAAGUCGGCCCACGCAUGUGGUGCCGGCGACACUUUCGAAUUGACGGGGAUACCCUAAAGCCUGUCGCACCAACUCUGUGUGGGAAACCGCUAGAGGGCCCGUGCUAACUACACGGGGUGGUAACAGACGACAUGGAUACUUCCACGCCUUUGGUGUGGAUACCAUGGGGCAAUCCCGCAGCGAAGCCUCUAAGUCCGGCCGCCGGGAUAUGAGGAACGUUCACAGACUA
rnacentral:rRNA from 1 species